rnacentral:rRNA from 1 species
GCUUGUCUCAAAGAUUAAGCCAUGCAUGUCUUAGUGUAAAUAACUCUUAUGAAACUGCGAAUGGCUCAUUAAAUCAGUUAUCGUUUAUUUGAUGGUCCUUGCUACUUGGAUAACCGUAGUAAUUCUAGAGCUAAUACAUGCAUCAAACCCCAACUUCUGGAAGGGGUGUAUUUAUUAGAUGGAAACCAAUCGAGGGCAACCUCGGGAUAUGGUGAUUCAUAAUAACUUUCGGAUCGAUUUAUCGAUGCAUCAUUCAAGUUUCUGCCCUAUCAGCUUUGGAUGGUAGGGUAUUGGCCUACCAUGGCUUUAACGGGUAACGGAGAAUUAGGGUUCGAUUCCGGAGAGGGAGCCUGAGAAAUGGCUACCACAUCCAAGGAAGGCAGCAGG